rnacentral:misc_RNA from 1 species
GGAAACAAUAGGAUAUUUAAAUUGCAUCUGCAAAAACUGUGGACCUUCAAGGGUUUUACAAAAUCUUCUUGCAUUUGAGCAUAUAAAACCAAGAUCACUAUAUAAAACCAAGAUCACUAAAUUAUCUGGGUUAUAAAUGAUGCUAGCCUUUGAGAGCCUUAUUUUUAUUAAAUAUUCAAUGUGUGUCAGUAUGACCAACUAAAUACCUCCCGAAGCUAAAAGGUUACUCUAGUUGUCUCAUCUUCAUUUGAUUGCUAGGUUUAAUUUUCUUGCCUUCUAUAUCAUAUUUAACCUGUUCUUUCAAGAUCUCAUCAUUCACAGGAUUGAAUAUAGCAAAAUUUUCCAAAGAUUCUCUCGACUUGAAUUUAACAUCAUUUAUAGAGCCAAUAAUUUUCAGCAAAAUACCCGACUGUAAAUAGGAAAAAGAAAAAAAUAAGAAGCAAGUGUGUAGGGGUGAGUAUACCGUUCAAACCGAACCGAAUUAAAUUAGGAAAUUGAAUUACUUAUUUUAGAAAUCGAACCGAACCGAAAUAGAUGAAAAAUAGAAUCGAACCAAACCGUUCUAUUUUGGUUCGGUUCGGUUCAAACCAAUCAGUUUUGAUUUUUGAUUGAUU